UUUCAACAACGGAUCUCUUGGCUCUCGCAUCGAUGAAGAACGCAGCGAAAUGCGAUAAGUAAUGUGAAUUGCAGAAUUCAGUGAAUCAUCGARUCUUUGAACGCACCUUGCGCUCCUUGGUAUUCCGAGGAGCAUGCCUGUUUGAGUGUCAUGAA
rnacentral:rRNA from 1 species